UUAUUAAUUAUUAUUUGUAAUUGAUAAGAUAACGUUGUCAGUAUUUAAUAAUGCUCUGCAAAAACAACCCUCCAUGAAUCCAUCAUCUAUGAAUCCAUUUGUGUGCUUUCAAAGGUGGUUGUAUCACUGUAAACAGGGAAUGGGCCUUUUUGUUGGAUUAUUUGGUAAUUUGAACAAGAUCUGCUUUUUUUUGCCUAACCCCCUUGAUCCUAAAGUGAAGCAUCACAUAAAGGUUGCUGUGCCUCAGGGAA